AUGGGGCAGAGGAAGGACAUCUUGCCCUUAGCUCCCCGUGCUCUUCCAUGGCGUUUCCAGAGAAAGAUAUGGCAGGUGGAAGACAUCAUGGACGAACUGAAUAAAGAGUUCUUCCAGCUCACUGCUCAAGCCCUAGAGCUCCAGAAAGAAGAGCACCAGCCAGACCACCUGCCCCCAAGGAAACACAGUACAUUUGCGGUGGUUCCCAGCAUCUUCCCUCAUGCAGAGCAGGAAGACAGACCUAACCCAGCAGAGGCAGGCGGCCCAGACAGAAAGAGUGUGGGAACCUGGGCCCUGAAGAGCGAGCAGGCCCUGAUCCUGGCGGUGAGGAGAGCCUGCCUGGUUCAGAGGAUCCAAGGCCUGGACUGGGAGCUGUCCCUGCUCCUCCAGGUGGCAGAGGGCAGCACGUGUGCAGGAGGGAGCCAGCCCAGCCUGGGGAGACGCUGAGUCACACAGGGUGCUGCGGUGGCCAUCUGUGGCAGUGCCUUCUCCACAAAGAACAUGGCCAGGUUACUCUGCGCACUCCAGGCAGGAAGACGUAGGCGUCUGAGGGCCCGCCCUGGCUGGGAGUGUGAGCUCGGUUAUGGCAUGCUCCUAUCUGGUAACGCCCAGGUUUCUUUCAGAGCCUGGACCUCGGCUUGUGCUGAUUGCUAUCUGUGAUCCUUUGGGGUGAGGGAAAAUAAAGUCACACAGGUUGAGAAUAUCA
rnacentral:lncRNA from 1 species